rnacentral:rRNA from 1 species
GUUUGUUGCACCAGAAGUAGGUAGUCUAACCGCAAGGAGGACGCUUACCACGGUGUGGCAGAUGACUGGGGUGAAGUCGUAACAAGGUAGCCGUAGGGGAACCUGCGGCUGGAUCACCUCCUUAA